UUGGAUAGUUAGUUGGUGGGUAAGAGCCCCCAAGGGGCGAUCAGUAAUUGUUUGAAGGAAGAUCAGCCCCCUGGGAUGAAACCCGGCCCAGAUUCCUACGGAGGCAGCAGUGGGAAUUUUCCGCAAUGGGCGAAACCUGACGGAGCAAUACCGCGUGAGGGAGGAAGGCUCUUGGGUUGUAAACCUCUUUUCUCAAGGAAUAACCCAAUGAAGGUACUUGAGGAAUAAGCAUCGGCUAACUCCGUGCCAGCAGCCGCGGUAAUACGGAGGAUGCAAGCGUUAUCCGGAAUGAUUGGGCGUAAAGGGUCCGCAGGUGGCAAUGUGUGUCUGCUGUCAAAGAAUGAGGCUUAACCUCAUCAAGGCAGUGGAAACUACAUAGCUAGAGUACGGUCGGGGUAGAAGGAAUUCCUGGUGUAGCGGUGAAAUGCGUAGAGAUCAGGAAGAACACCGGUGGCGAAAGCGUUCUGCUAGACCUGUACUGACACUGAGGGACGAAAGCUAGGGGAGCGAAUGGGAUUAGAUACCCCAGUAGUCCUAGCCGUAAACGAUGGAUACUAGGCGUGGCUUGUAUCGACCCGAGCCGUGCCGGAGCCAACGCGUUAAGUAUCCCGCCUGGGGAGUACGCACGCAAGUGUGAAACUCAAAGGAAUUGACGGGGGCCCGCACAAGCGGUGGAGUAUGUGGUUUAAUUCGAUGCAACGCGAAGAACCUUACCAAGACUUGACAUGUCGCGAAUCCUCUUGAAAGAGAGGAGUGCCUUCGGGAGCGCGAACACAGGUGGUGCAUGGCUGUCGUCAGCUCGUGUCGUGAGAUGUUGGGUUAAGUCCCGCAACGAGCGCAACCCUCGUUUUUAGUUGCCAGCAUUAAGAUGGGCACUCUAGAGAGACUGCCGGUGACAAACCGGAGGAAGGUGGGGAUGACGUCAAGUCAGCAUGCCCCUUACGUCUUGGGCUACACACGUACUACAAUGCUACGGACAGAGGGCAGCUAAACAGCGAUGUCAAGCAAAUCCCGUAAACCGUAGCUCAGUUCAGAUCGCAGGCUGCAACUCGCCUGCGUGAAGGAGGAAUCGCUAGUAAUUGCAGGUCAGCAUACUGCAGUGAAUUCGUUCCCGGGCCUUGUACACACCGCCCGUCACACCAUGGAAGCUGGCAACGCCCGAAGUCAUUACUCCCAACUUUUCGGAGAGGAGGAUGCCU
rnacentral:rRNA from 1 species